GGGGUUAUAGCUCAGCUGGUAGAGCACCUGCUUUGCAAGCAGGGGGUCCUCGGUUCGAAUCCGAGUAACUCCACAA
rnacentral:tRNA from 1 species